rnacentral:sRNA from 1 species
AUGGUGAAAAAGAUGUCACAAAAUGAGGUUGAUAAAUUGAUUGAUAAUGCCAGGUUAUCAAGCAGUAUUUCCACAGAUAAAGUUGCUCGUACGGGUCUCGCUUUAUUAGAGCAGCUUUUCCCAUCUGAAGACAGUGAUAACAGUGACUAUGAUGCUAUUAUUGAAGCAAUCAUUAAUGAUGCCAAAAAACUGUGUCCUGGCCUGGAGGAACAGCACACUUUUCGGUUUGCAUUACUGCUUCUAUGGACACUUGUGAAAAAAGGAAAGUUUCAGUUGCAUCGAAAUAUUGAGAAGGAGGAUGAAGAGGCAAGAAAUUCCAUGGCAGCUUGUAUUGAAGCACUAAAUUCUAUUCAGUCAUUGAAUCCUGAUGGAAAAAGAAUUAUUGACUCUCAACAUCCAAGAAGUAUAUUGAAGAUGAAAGACAAGAGUACAAAAUGUAUUCGCAAAAAGGUGCACUUUGAGGGAGAGGCUGAUUUGAAUCAACCACUGACACAGAUGGAUCGCAAUCAGGCAAGAGUGUCAAACUACAAUGUGACAGAUGAUGAUUUUAAGUCACUGGCUAGUAGGAACUGGUUAACUGAUCAGGUUAUUGAUGCAUAUAUUGCAUUUAUAGUUCAAGCUGAAAUUGAAAAGGGUAACCAUAUAACUAUGUACCCAUCACAAACAAUGACUGGUAUUAUGAGUGGCACUUAUUCAGUGGAAAAAUGUAGAAAGAAGUUAAAAGUAUUUGAAUGUGAAGCCAUUGUGGGAGCUGUUAUUAAACAUCAGCAUUGGACAUUGGUGAUAGUUGAACCAAAGAAGGGAUUGAUUUAUUUCUACAAUCCCUUGACUGAGAGGAGGAUCCAAAUAAGGGAAGUUCAAAGAAACUGGUGUACCAACCAGACACAACCUUACUCUAAGCAGACCCAAAAGUUACCCCAGGUCUGCUUGAGGUCUGCCAUCUGCUCGGAGAGUGCUAUAGCUUUACUAGGGUCAGCUCUUGUGCUUGCCGGCUUCAUGAAUCCUUUAUCCAAGGAAGUACGGGAUAAACUAGGGGAACUUGUUGGACACGGGGUUACAAGUGUCUCAGAGAUGCGUAGACAUCUGCAUGUGUAUGUUGAUACCCUGCUAUUUAAAGACAUGAAGCGUCCUGCAUUGUCUGAUGCUGCCUACUAUCCAACAGAUGAAACAAUUAGGACACAUAUAUAUCUUGCCCAGUUGCGGUUAAGAUAUUCAAGGAUAGAUCAAGAAAACCUUCUACAUAAGGUAGCAGAAUGGCAAGAGAAUUAUCCAAGGGACAAUUUCGUCUUUAUGCCUGCCUCUAACUCUGCACCGAGCGACAAUGAAAUUUUGAAGGAUAUAGACUGUGUGGAGCAGGAUGAUGAUGAUGAGGUAUAUCCUCAAAUACAGGCAGCUGAGACAACAGAAUUUUUCUUCUGUCACCAAAGUGAAUUUCAACGUCAUCUCUUGUACAGGUAUGGAAAUUCCCUUUGUUUGCUUGACGCAACGUACCGAACUACGAAAUACGCAUUGCCCCUCUUCUUUCUUGCUGUGAAGACCAAUGUAGGGUAUAGCGUAGUUGCGGAAUUUAUAGUGCAGCAUGAGACCAAAAAAUCCAUCAUGCAAGGUCUACGAACCAUUAAAGAAAGCUUUGUUUUUAUCUGUGAUUUUCACAGAGAACAAAGUUGGACGAGAUGGGUCAGUAAGACUGACUAUGGUCUUACUGACUGCAAAGACCAGGUGCUGGGAAUGUUGAGGAGAUGUGCUCAUGCAUCCUCAGAAAAGAGUACACAGAAGCCAUCACAAAAUUGCAAAAUUCAGAUAUCUGGGCCAGAAGCAGUCGUCUUAGAAACUGGUUUACAAAAACAUGGAUGA